UGUGUGCUGGACACUGGUACAGAAGCCGCCUCUGCUUGCAGACACACCAUGGGUGUGUGCAGCAUCCAGAGCAGCCCUCAUCGGGAGCACAUCCUGGCCACGGGAAGGUGAGUCCCCAGGAGGCUCUCGGGCCCUUCUCGUCUCUUUCGCUGCCUUUCCUCCUGGGAAGGUGAGUCCCGGGGGGGCUCCUGGGCCAUUCUUCCCUCUUUCGCUGCCUCUCCUCCUGGCACCAUUGCAGCAUUUCGUCUGCCAGUGCUUCGCCGGAGUGUAGGUAUAUGGGUUUGGGAAAGGGGACUUUGUCCUCGAGGGAUGCAUGGGACAGGUCUCUGGGAGACGUUCUGUGCCCCCCAGGGGCCUUGUGGAACAGGUGAGCCUGGGCUUUCCUUACAUGCCUCCUGUGGUUGGUCGGUUUCAGCUAUGAUGAACACAUCCUACUGUGGGACACACGAAACAUGAAGCAGCCGUUGGCAGACACGCCCGUGCAGGGUGGGGUAUGGAGAAUCAAGUGGCACCCUUUCCACCACCACCUGCUCCUGGCCGCCUGCAUGCACAGUGGCUUUAAGAUCCUCAACUGCCAAAAGGCAAUGG
rnacentral:sRNA from 1 species